rnacentral:lncRNA from 1 species
AUGGCUGGACUUCCGGGUAAACAUGGUGGCAGUUUAGACACAGGACUCUUCCUCUCCCCACCACAUACCAAUACGGACUACCUCAAAAGCAAAAAAAACUCAAAUUCAUAUGAACGGAGGGAUUCUACAGUAGGGCACAGCGUUGAAGAUCUUGUGCAAAAUCCAGUAUUCUUUCUACUAUGCCAUAAUGAGGACAAUGAAAAAACUUCAGUCAUAGGCAGAGCUAUCUAA